rnacentral:rRNA from 1 species
GGUUAAGUGACUAAGCGUACACGGUGGAUGCCUUGGCAGUCAGAGGCGAUGAAGGACGUAUUAACUUGCGAUAAGCCCAGAUUAGGCAGUAAAAGCCACUUGAGUCUGGGAUUUCCGAAUGGGGAAACCCAACUGCAUAAGCAGUUACUGUUAACUGAAUACAUAGGUUAACAG